UUAAGAUAAAACUUAAAAACCACCAAGUUCCCGAGAGCAGAUUUUGGAAGUCCAAAACAAAAUCGCAAACGGUAGUUUAAUGCCAAGAUAAGUACAGGGAGACUUUGCCAAUCCAUUCUUCAAGAGUAUACCUACAUUUUUGGAGCUUUGUGGCAUAUUUCGGUUAAGGAAAACCCGAAAGAGAUGCAAGAGAGAAUUUAUCAUCAUAAGGUAUCGAGAGAGAUGAAAACCACAAAUAAGGUGGAAAAGAGAAAAAGAAUGAAUUUCUUGAAGGCUUAAGUUAUGAAGACUAAAUCUUCUGUGAUUUUAUCAUCAUAAGGUGUUCAAAGAAGUGGAAGUUAAUCCAGUUCAUAUCACUAGUGUGCUCGGUCUACUUUGUGGUUUGAGGUUAGUUACACUAACUUACUAAUUAUGUUAGCUAUGCGUGAUUAUGUGUUAAUUGUUAUGUAUGAGAUCAAGUAUAUAUAUGUUAUGAAAGUCUGAGCCUUUAGGAGAUGACCAAGCAUUAGUAUAAAGGUUGCCUUCGGAGAUGACCAGGCAUUAAUUCAAGGUUUCCUUUGGGAGAUGACCAGGAAGUGACUGAGAAAGGCCUUUUGGGAAUCAACCGUACAUGAAUGUUACCAAUAACAUGUGUUAAUCAAUUAUGUGAAUUAUGUGAUAUAUGUGACAUGCAAUACCUAAUAUGUAUUUAUGUGUUAUGUGAUGUAUAUGAUUAAUAUGAUGGGUGAGUAAUGUGUAGGCUUACUAAGCGUUAUCGCUUAACCGUUGUGAUUAACAUUGUUACAGGAAUAAAGGAGAACCCACUGUGACUGUAGCAACGUUUGCAUUUUUA